rnacentral:rRNA from 1 species
AGCUCCAAUAGCGUAUAUUAAAUUUGUUGCGGUUAAAACGCUCGUAGUCGGAGAAAUAAAUUUGUCGUAAGAUAAAUUUGAGGUAAUUCUUUACCUUAUUACUUUGAGGAAUUACAGUGUUCCAAGCAAGCGUUUGCUCUGAAUACAAAAGCAUGGAAUAAUAUUAUAAGACUAUAAAUCUAUUAUUGGUUAUUAUAUUU